ACUUCUCAGGCGUUUCCUGAGUCUGCUUGGCAUAGUCCCCGGUUCAUUCAGUGGACACUUGUGGUCGCUAGAGCUGAAGGUGGAUGUCCCUAGGGGUGGAAUCAGAUAAGAGGCAGCUGGGGAUGAGGACACUUAGUCUCUCCUUCCCGGCAGCUUCCUGAGCGUCGUGGGUACCUGGUACGUCACAGCCAUCGUUAUCAUCAAGUACAUCUGGCCAGAUAAAGAGAUGACCCCAGGGAACAUCCUGACCAGGCCGGCUUCCUGGAUGGCUGUGUUCAAUGCCAUGCCCACCAUCUGCUUCGGAUUUCAGGUGCCAGUGCCAGUUGCAAGGUCCCUGCUGUCCCCUUAGAUCACCCCACCCUGGGAUGGAACCCAGCAAGGAGGAGGAACCCAGGCAGAAUGGAGGAAAUCCUGGGGGGAAGGAUGGAACAGGGGCCCCAGGACUUGCCCCUUGUUCCUGGGGUCUUUGUUCCCAAGGUACCUUCCUCUGGAAACUGGGGUUGAGGUCAUUUCCCCACCAUGACCGUGCCCUUCACCUGGACAGUGCCACGUCAGCAGUGUGCCCGUCUUCAACAGCAUGCAGCAGCCUGAAGUGAAGACCUGGGGUGGAGUGGUGACAGCUGCCAUGGUCAUAGCCCUCGCUGUCUACAUGGGGACCGGCAUCUGUGGCUUCCUGACCUUUGGAGCUGCUGUGGAUCCUGACGUGCUCCUGUCCUAUCCCUCGGAGGACAUGGCCGUGGCCGUUGCCCGAGCCUUCAUCAUCCUGAGCGUGCUCACCUCCUACCCUAUCCUGCACUUCUGUGGGCGGUGAGCCCCCUUCCACUCCCCAGGGCCCCUCCUAGCCCCUGUGAGCGCUUCCAACAUGGUCCUUUG
rnacentral:sRNA from 1 species